rnacentral:lncRNA from 1 species
CUGCUCGCUCAGCAGCCAGGCCCAGGGAGCCUGGACUAUGGAAAAUCACAUGUGGUUUUCAAGUUGUUGGAAACUGAGAGGAUUGUUCUGCCAGUUGUUGGAAUGGCCAGCCACUGCCUGGAAGACCCAGGUUCCCACAGUGCAAGGAACCACCUCACUUUGUGGGCUUGAGCACCGGACCCCACUGGCAUGUGUACAGCCACAGAGAUGUGACAUUUCAUCAGUUCCCUAUAGAAAUGAUCCCACUGAGAUGGCCAGGGACAUCUUUUAUACACCUGGGAAGGGCUUCCCUCUGGCAGGUGGCUCUCUUGGCAGG